GAGGAUGCAGCCCAGUGAUAGAGUGCUUACCUUGCAUGAACAAGGCCCUGGGUUUGAUCCCCAGCACCCACA
rnacentral:tRNA from 1 species